rnacentral:lncRNA from 1 species
CACUAGCUACAACACACAUCUGGAGAGCAAGCUUCAUCUCUCACCUCUGAAACCUCUGUAAUUUCGAGGCACAUCCUUCCAUCUCUCCCCAUUUUCCCUUUUGGUAAACUGUUCCAAAGCUUGACAAAGUUUCAUUGAGCUGUCGGAAACUACUCAACACACCCAAUAUACCCCCAUCCCUUUUUCUCUUCAACAAACCCACUUAGAAUCCC